rnacentral:rRNA from 1 species
UGGGGAAUUUUCCGCAAUGGGGGCAACCCUGACGGAGCAACGCCGCGUGCGGGAGGAAGGCCUUUGGGUUGUAAACCGCUUUUCUCAGGGAAGAAGCUCUGACGGUACCUGAGGAAUCAGCCUCGGCUAACUCCGUGCCAGCAGCCGCGGUAAUACGGAGGAGGCAAGCGUUAUCCGGAAUCAUUGGGCGUAAAGCGUUCGCAGGCGGCGAUUCAAGUCUGCUGUCAAAGACCAGAGCUCAACUCUGGGCAGGCGGUGGAAACUGGGAAGCUAGAGUACGGUAGGGGUAGAGGGAAUUCCCAGUGUAGCGGUGAAAUGCGUAGAGAUUGGGAAGAACACCAGUGGCGAAGGCGCUCUACUGGACCUGUACUGACACUCAGGGACGAAAGCUAGGGGAGCGAAAGGGAUUAGAUACCCCCGUAGUCC